rnacentral:rRNA from 1 species
GACGGAAGGUGCAAGCGUUGCUCGGAAUCACUGGGCGUAAAGGGUGCGUAGGCGGCCGUGCAAGUCUGGCGUGAAAGCCCCGGGCUCAGCCCGGGAAGUGCGCUCGAAACUGCGCGGCUCGAGUGCCGGAGGGGAGAGUGGAAUUCCUGGUGUAGCGGUGAAAUGCGUAGAUAUCAGGAGGAACACCGAUGGCGAAGGCAGGUCUCUGGGCUGACACUGACGCUCAUGCACGAAAGCGUGGGGAGCAAAUAGG